UCUGCACCUGUAAGCAGCAGGCAUGCCUGCUGUGCUACAUGUGUGCUAGUAGGUGGCAACAAAAAGAAAGGCUAAGUCUAGAGUCAGUGUUUUAACCUGUGAACAUCUGAAUGGUUAGCUGUCCAAU